ACUGAGCACAGGGCCUGGCACAUAAAAAAAACAAAAAGAAAAACCUUAUAACAUAUAACAUGUAUAAACAGAAGCUGAGAUAUUGAAGAAGCAAAGACAGGAUGGAGUUGGUUGCAGACAUGGAAGGACUACCUACCUGUGCAAAGGAUCUGAGACUGAAGGACACUCUUAUCACUCACAGUAAGAAGAAAUGGAGCAAUAACCCCGGAUGAAUACCUCAGAAUGAAAUCAGUAGCACCUGACUCCUCCCCUGGAGCUUUCAACUCUAUCAAUCUACAGUUUUGGGCAAAUACCAAGCUUGCCCAGUGCACAGGUGCCAUAUGUUGUUUGUUUUUUUUUAAAUCAGACCUAUCAGAUAGUCUUCCCUACCGUUUGGGGGGGGGGAGGGAAAAGUGUGUUUUUUUAACUGUUUUUUUUGCUUGAACUUGCCCCCUACCCCACCACCCCCAACUUGAAUUCCCAUCUCCAAAACCAUUUCUCUGCCCAACCUCAUAAAGUAAACAGGAGACAAAAUUAUAUCUUCCAAAAAAAGAAACUUAUUCAUCUCCAACGAACCAAUCAGGAUAUGCAUUCACACACUCUGACAAGCUCGACAAAGGUGAAUUGGUUCUCUAAAAUUCUGCCAGUAAUUUGCAGUAAUGGGGCUGUUUUCCCGCAAGAAUCACUCGAGGGCAUCAAGGCUUUGCCUAGGUUUUCCAGGGUCCUUAGCGCUCAGCACUGACCUACUCCAGCUGCAGGUAUCUUAAAACUACCUUUAAUGAAGUAACAAGUGCU